rnacentral:rRNA from 1 species
UGGCAAGCGUUGUCCGGAUUUACUGGGUGUACAGGGCGUGCAGCCGGGAAUGCAAGUCAGAUGUGAAAUCUGGAGGCUCAACCUCCAAACUGCAUUUGAAACUGUGUUUCUUGAGUAUCGGAGAGGUCAUCGGAAUUCCUUGUGUAGCGGUGAAAUGCGUAGAUAUAAGGAAGAACACCAGUGGCGAAGGCGGAUGACUGGACGACAACUGACGGUGAGGCGCGAAAGCGUGGGGAGC